rnacentral:rRNA from 1 species
CCCACGGGGGGCAGCAGUGAGGAAUAUUGGUCAAUGGCCGGAAGGCUGAACCAGCCAUGCCGCGUGAAGGUCAGUGCCCUAUGGGCGUUAAACUUCUGUUGUGCGGGAGCAAUAAUGGUCACGUGUGGCCAGACGAGAGUACCGUACGAAUAAGCAUCGGCUAACUCCGUGCCAGCAGCCGCGGUAAUACGGGGGAUGCAAGCGUUAUCCGGAGUUAUAGGGUGUAAAGGGGGCGGAGGCGGUGAGGGAAGUCAGCGGUGAAAUGCCCCCGCGCACAGGGGUGAUGUGACAUUGAUACUGGCUUGCUGGAAUGCGGAUGCCGUGGGAGGAAUGUGUGGUGUAGCGGUGAAAUGCAUAGAUAUCACACAGAACACCGAUUGCGAAGGCAUCUCACGGAUCCGCGAUUGACGCUGAUGCACGAAAGCGUGGGUAUCGAACAGGAUUAGAUACCCCUGUAGUC